GGCUUAAUUUAGUAAGUUAAAAAAAAAAAGAUUUUGAAAAUUUUUAAAAAUUUUAGUUUAAGAAAAAAAUACAUGUUAUUCUAAAUUUAAAUUUAAAAUUUUUAAAUUUUAAAAGCCAAACAAGUCACUGUAAAGUUGUUAAACGACAAGAAGACUAGAACCGCCCAAAAAUCAGUGGCUAUGACAUAGGAUCUGCACAAAUCUCCAUGUUACCGAAUCAUCGACAGCGGUGGUAGGCUGGUCGGUCGGUGGUUGUCGGUGGAGCUUCCCCUUUUCCUCCCCAAUGAGUUUCCCGACAUCACCGCAAACCAUGCUUAACUUUGAAAAAAGAAAAAAAAUAAAGGAAAAAAACAAUUAAUAUCAAGUUUCAUGAUAUUUUCAUUGAGAAUGACAGCCCUCGAGCACACGUUUAUAUAAUUAAUUUUAUUUUUCGCAAAAAGUUC
rnacentral:misc_RNA from 1 species